CCUACGGGGGGCUGCAGUGAGGAAUAUUGGUCAAUGGGCGCGAGCCUGAACCAGCCAAGUAGCGUGAAGGAUGACUGCCCUACGGGUUGUAAACUUCUUUUAUAAAGGAAUAAAGUGAGGCACGUGUGCCUUUUUGUAUGUACUUUAUGAAUAAGGAUCGGCUCACUCCGUGCCAGCAGCCGCGGUAAUACGGAGGAUCCGAGCGUUAUCCGGAUUUAUGGGGUUUAAAGGGAGCGUAGAGGGGUUGUUAAGUCAGUUGUGAAAGUUUGCGGCUCAACCGUAAAAUUGCAAUUGAUACUGGCAGCCUUGAGUACAGUUGAGGUAGGCGUAAUUCGUGUUGUAGCGG
rnacentral:rRNA from 1 species